UAUUGUGUGAUGAUAUCAUGUUCUUGCUCAGAAUGCAAUGUUUCAUAAUAAUUGCAAAACAAAUGUACUUUGAUCACAUUUAAUUGAAGGGUACUCUAAGCAUAAUUGGGUGAAAUAAUAAAAAAUUAAAUAUAAUAAAGAUUCAGUAAAAUGAAACUGUAUUCGUCAGCACACGGACGGCGGUGAGUGAGAGUUUAUCCGGAGAGAGACAACAUCGCUACAACAUUAAAGAUAUCAUCUGACAAAUGUGAUGCCGCGGCCGGCGAGUGAGUUAAACGUUCCAUUACAACUCAGCGUUAAGCUUCAACUAUACUAUUUUAACUGCUAAGUAGAUAUCUUUAAGCAUAAAACAGAAAUUAAGCUAGUUCGCAUGUAACCGAGAUGUAAAGUUAUAGUAACAUAAUAAUAAUGAGGAAACGUACAAAACUUGAAGUAGUAUUAAUUGUCUUAAAAAACUUAACUCUACUCAUUUAGAUAAAAAGAACGAAUUAUAUUUUUACUUUU